rnacentral:rRNA from 1 species
UACGAAGGGGGCUAGCGUUGCUCGGAAUCACUGGGCGUAAAGCGCACGUAGGCGGGUCUUUAAGUCAGGGGUGAAAUCCCGGAGCUCAACUCCGGAACUGCCUUUGAUACUGAGGAUCUUGAGUUCGAGAGAGGUGAGUGGAACUGCGAGUGUAGAGGUGAAAUUCGUAGAUAUUCGCAAGAACACCAGUGGCGAAGGCGGCUCACUGGCCCGGUACUGACGCUGAGGUGCGAAAGCGUGGGGAGCAAACAGG